rnacentral:rRNA from 1 species
UUUUUGUAUUUAAUAUAAAGUCUAAUCUGCCCCCUGAUAAUUUAUUAAAGGGCUGCAGUAUUUUGACUGUACAAAGGUAGCAUAAUCAUUUGUCUCUUAAUUGGUGACUUGUAUGAAAGAUUGGAUGAAAUAUAAGCUGUCUCAUUAUAAUAAAUAAAAUUUAAUUUUUUAGUAAAAAAGCUAAAAUAAUUUUAAAAGACGAGAAGACCCUAUAGAGUUUAAUAAUUAUUUUUAUAUAGAAUAAAAUAUUACAAUUUGAAUUUAAAUAAAAAUAAUUAUUUUGUUGGGGUGACAGAAAAAUUAAAUUAACUUUUUUUUAAAAAUAAACAUUAAUAAGUGAGUAGAUGAUCCAUUAAUAAUGAUUAUAAGAAAAAAUUACCUUAGGGAUAACAGCGUAAUUUUUUUUUUUAGGCCAAAUAAGAAAAAGAGUUUGCGACCUCGAUGUUGGAUUAAGAUAAAAUUUAAAUGUAAAAGUUUAAAGUUUUGAUCUGUUCGAUCAUUAAAA